UCUUAAAAUUUAUACCACUUCAGUUUAUUUAGCACUAAUUUUCUGUGGAUAGAACCCAUACAACAUCACUAUGGGGUCUAAUAUUUGUCAAUGCAAUGGCAUUUUACAAAGACAAGGAUCAAUACCUCAAAUAUUUACAUCAAGAAUGUCUUGAUUGAUUUGCUUUUGUGUUUCCAACUUCCAGUCUACCAAUUUGCUUUGGAUCAACCUCAUACUUCUCAAGAAGUGAAGUAACAGCGGUCAAACUGCAGAUCAACAAAUGAAUAGCUAAGCAGCUUCUUUUGACCACUUAAAUGAAUUAGAUGGUAAAGUGAUCCCAUCUCCAUGUACUCAGAUGUGGAGGCUUUGUGGAAGCACCGAGAAACAACAUAACUAUAAGAAAAAGAGACAAGUUAGUGUAAAUACAUAUUGAAAGAAAUAGAGCUGAUUACUUAGACAAUAUGACCAUUUCAAAAAAAAAAA